CUGGGCGGAUGCAGGUACCCUAGAGUGUGGUCAUAGGAGCAGUUCUUACCACAGGCUGCUCUUCCUCUGCAGAUUUCUUUGGAGUCUUAACUUUCCUGGUCUUCACAGUCGAGACACUGAUGGAGGGAGGACAUGAACCAUCAUACUUUCCAGUGAGAACAGAUAAUCCCAUGGCCCUGCAGCUCCUUAUCUGUCCUCCGCCUGCUGGUUGACCAAUGAAGUGGCUCAGCUGGACCGAAGAGGUGAAUGAUCUGUACACUGAAGACUACAAGACAUUGAUGAAAGAAAUUGAAGAAGACACAAAUAAAUGGAAAGAUAACUCAUGUUCCUGGACUGGAAGAAUUAAUAUUGUUAAAAGGGCUAUACUACUCAAAGCCAAUGC